UACAGAGGGUGCAAGCGUUGUUCGGAAUUACUGGGCGUAAAGGGCGCGUAGGCGGCCUGCUAAGUCGAACGUGAAAUCCCCAGGCUCAACCUGGGAACUGCGUCCGAUACUGGCAGGCUUGAAUCCGGGAGAGGGAUGUGGAAUUCCAGGUGUAGCGGUGAAAUGCGUAGAUAUCUGGAGGAACACCGGUGGCGAAGGCGGCAUCCUGGACCGGUAUUGACGCUGAGGCGCGAAAGCCAGGGGAGCAAACGGG
rnacentral:rRNA from 1 species